rnacentral:rRNA from 1 species
GACGAACGCUGGCGGCGUGCUUAACACAUGCAAGUCGAACGGAAAGGCCCUGCUUUUGUGGGGUGCUCGAGUGGCGAACGGGUGAGUAACACGUGAGUAACCUGUCCUUGACUUUGGGAUAACUUCAGGAAACUGGGGCUAAUACCGGAUAGGAGCUCCUGCUGCAUGGUGGGGGUUGGAAAGUUUCGGCGGUUGGGGAUGGACUCGCGGCUUAUCAGCUUGUUGGUGGGGUAGUGGCUUACCAAGGCUUUGACGGGUAGCCGGCCUGAGAGGGUGACCGGCCACAUUGGGACUGAGAUACGGCCCAGACUCCUACGGGAGGCAGCAGUGGGGAAUAUUGCACAAUGGGCGGAAGCCUGAUGCAGCAACGCCGCGUGCGGGAUGACGGCCUUCGGGUUGUAAACCGCUUUCGCCUGUGACGAAGCGUGAGUGACGGUAAUGGGUAAAGAAGCACCGGCUAACUACGUG